rnacentral:rRNA from 1 species
AUGGCAGAUGCAGGAGCUGGUGGGGAUGGUGAUGCUUAUGAUCCAAUGAAAGAUCCAAAAUGCAUGCCAUGGAGGUCAAAUGAUCUGGGAUGGAAUUAUGGGUAUUGGUGGAAACCUGGCAACAUCAAUAAUGUUGUAUGCAAUCUUUGUGGCAAGAUAUCUAGAGGGAUCAAGAGACACAAAGAGCAUCUUGCUGGCACCGGUGGGGAUGCAACAUGCUGUCCAAAGGCUACCACACAACUUAGGAGGGAGAUGUUAGAAUAUUUGGAAAAUAACAGGAGAAACAUGGGUCAGCCAGAUGAUAAUGAUGAUGUAGUGGAGCUAGAUGAAGCAGGGACAGUUCAAGGCUCCACUAAUGCAGCAGCAGUUUAA